rnacentral:rRNA from 1 species
UGCCUGCCCGGUGAUUAAAAUUUUAAUUAAACGGCUGCGGUACUCUGACCGUGCAAAGGUAGCAUAAUCAUUAGCCUGUUAAUUCCAGGCUGGAAUCAAUGGCAAGACGAAGGAAAAGCUGUCUCUUUACAUUUAAAUUUAAACUUUUUAUUUUGGUGAAGAAACCAAAAUUAGUUAGUGGGACGAGAAGACCCUAUUGAGUUUUAGCUUUGCUUUAGAAAAAUAAGUUUGGGGUAUAGCUUUGGUUGGGGCAACGAGUUUUAGUAUUAAACAAAAUUUUCUAGAUGAAUUGAAUCAAAGUUAUUUGACCCAAAUAGGUUUUGGAAAAAGAAAAAAUUACCAUAGGGAUAACAGCGUAAUUCUUUUUGAGAGUACUUAUUGACAAAAGAGUUUGCGACCUCGAUGUUGGAUCAAGAAAACCUGGGGGUGCAGCAGCUUCCAAAGGUUGGUUUGUUCAACCAUAAAAAACUU